AGGGGAUCGUAAGACCUUGCGUUUAUGGAGUGGCCGAUAUCUGAUUAGCUAGUUGGUGAGGUAAAGGCUCACCAAGGCGACGAUCAGUAGCUGGUCUGAGAGGACGACCAGCCACACUGGAACUGAGACACGGUCCAGACUCCUACGGGAGGCAGCAGUGGGGAAUUUUGGACAAUGGGCGCAAGCCUGAUCCAGCCAUUCCGCGUGAGUGAAGAAGGCCUUCGGGUUGUAAAGCUCUUUCGCAAGGGAAGAAAAGUUACUCGAUAACACUGGGUGAGGCUGACGGUACCUUGAUAAGAAGCACCGGCUAACUACGUGCCAGCAGCCGCGGUAAUACGUAGGGUGCGAGCGUUAAUCGGAAUUACUGGGCGUAAAGCGUGCGCAGGCGGUUUUGUAAGUCAGAUGUGAAAKCCCCGGGCUCAACCUGGGAACUGCGUUUGAAACUACA
rnacentral:rRNA from 1 species